CGCCUGUUUAUCAAAAACAUCUUUUCUCGUUAGUUUUUGAAGUAUGGCCUGCCCACUGACUGUUGUUGAAGGGCCGCGGUAUUUUGACCGUGCAAAGGUAGCAUAAUCAUUAGUUCUUUAAUUGUGAUCUGGUAUGAAUGGCUUGACGAGACAUAAGCUGUCUUGGAAGUAUUAUUUAUUGAAUUUGGUUUUUAGUUAAAAUUCUUAAAUGUUUUUAUGGGACGAGAAGACCCUAUAGAGUUUUACAGUUUUCCCAUUUAUUUGUUGUUUGUUUGUUUUUGUUGAGUGGGAAGGAUUGUUUUGUUGGGGUGAUGGGAGGAAUAAUAUUUAACUCCUCUUUGAUUUUGUAUAUUUAUUUAUAUGUAUUUGAUCCAUUUAUUUUGAUUAUAAGAUUAAAUUACCUUAGGGAUAACAGCGUAA
rnacentral:rRNA from 1 species